rfam:Ictidomys tridecemlineatus contig047782, whole genome shotgun sequence.
UGGGCUGUGGCUCGGUGGUGGAGCACUUACCUAGCAUGUGUGAAACACUGGGUUCAAUUCUCAGCACCACAU